UAGCGUAUAUUAAAGUUGUUGCAGUUAAAAAGCUCGUAGUUGGAUUUCUGGUAGGAGCGACCGGUCCGCCCUGUUAAGGGUGUGUACUAGCGUUGUCUCUGGCCAUCCUUGGGGGAACUGCGCGGGGAGACUUGCGUUAGGGAACCCAUCGUUUACUGUGAAAAAAUUAGAGUGUUUAAAGCAGGCUUAUGCCGUUGAAUACAUUGGCAUGGAAUAAUAAGAUAGGACCGCGUGGUCGUCUUGUUGGUUUGCACCGCGGGGUAAUGAUUAAUAGGUGCAGUUGGGGGUAUUCGUAUUUAAUUGUCAGAGGUGAAAUUCUUGGAUUUAUGAAAGACGAACUUCUGCGAAAGCAUUUACCAAGGAUGUUUUCAUUAAUCAAGAACGAAAGUUAGGGGAUCGAAGAUGAUUAGAUACCAUCGUAGUCUUAACCAUAAACUAUGCCGACUAGGGAUAGGCGGUCGUUUCUUUUGACCCCGUCUGUACCUUAUGAGAAAUCAAAGUCUUUGGGUUCCGGGGGAGUAUGGCCGCAAGGCUGAAACUUAAAGGAAUUGACGGAAGGGCACCACCAGGAGUGGAGCCUGCGGCUUAAUUUGACUC
rnacentral:rRNA from 1 species